rnacentral:lncRNA from 1 species
CCUGGCUGUCCUGGAACUCACUCUGUAGACCAGGCUGUCCUCGAACUUAGAAAUCCACCUGCCUCUGCCUCCCAAGUGCUGGGAUUAAAGGCGUGUGCCACCACUGCCCUGCCUGCCUGCCUGCCUGCCUGCCUUCCUUCCUUCCUUCCUUCCUUCCUUCCUUCCUUCCUUCCUUCCUCUCUCUCUCUCUCUCUCUCGCUCUCUCUCUCUCUCUCUCUCUCUCGCUCUCUCUCUCUUUCUUUCAAACUUUAUUUUCUUUCUUUUAUUUUUUUAAAGAUUUUAUUUAUUUUUAUGUGCAUUGGUGUUUUGCCUGCAUGUAUGUCGAUAGGUCUUCUGGAAGAGCAGCCAGUUCUCCUAACUGCCUAGCCUUCUCUCCAGCCUAUCUCUUAAACCCAUUUUCAACUCAAAGCGGCUUAAGCUGGCGUUCUCUGAAUCUGUGACAUGGUCUGGCCGGCUAAGACAGUGUAUGUCACAUUGCACUUUCAGGACUUGGUGUCUGGGCUGUGGCAGUUGUGUAGCCAGUCCGUGUCCCCAUGUGCAGAUGAGUGGUUUGUAGUCACUGGGAUUGCUCCCCAGCCCGGGCUGGCUGAUGCUGGCAGCAGCAGGUGCAGUGCAGGGUCCCUCCUGCAGACCGCGCUCUGUAGCUGGAGGCGGCUCUGGCCUCUGCUGCCUCAGCCCGCGUCCUCACAUUCCGCGCAUGCCAAUCUGCCUGCUCUGUUGUGUUCAGUCAUAAGACACUGACAGAGGUAUUUAUCCUCAAAUAAAUCACUGUAGUGUUAGUCAGAGGCUGAGCCUGCAGUCUGGAGCCUGGAAUUUGCUACACUCAGGAAUCUAGCAGCGGAGGCUGCGCAGAACAGCGCCCUCUCUCACUCACUGCCUGGGAGGGAAUCAGAUGGCGCUCCUCGCUGAGAGGCCUGGCAUCCAUGCUUGUACUACCCUCCAUCCAACUUUCCC